CAGCCCCCCGCCCGCCGGCCGCAGAGCCCCGGUGCAGACCUGCUCCGCAGGCGGCUAUCUGCACCCGCGAGGGCGUCUGCCCAGACAUCGGGUCUGCCUCCUGCGGAGCCCCCCGCCCUCCGCCGGGCUGCACUGCACGAGGGGGCAUCGGGGCUUGUGUAGGGGACCCCAGACACCGCCUCCUGAGGAGGCUCGACGGCCACUUUAGUGCCAGGGUGCACGUGUGGAAAGGGGCUGGAUCCCAAGGAGCUGUCCCGAGGGUGCUGGCUGGACUGGGAGGAGGACCAGAGAGCAGGGAUCCCUUAAGGAGUGAGGUCCAGGGGAGGACGAGGGAGUGGAGGAGGGCACAGGCCGAAAGUCAAGUCAGGGAAAUCUCACUAGACGGCUGGAGCCCCGCAGCUCCGAGAACAGCGAUGGGGCUCUACCAUAGAAGCCCAGCCAUGAGGAGGAGCGAACUGGGCUCAUUACUAGCCAGGUCACAGCAUGGUGGUUAAAAACGUGCUGAGGGGCCUUUCUCAACAAGGUUCCCCUUUCCCAGAUGCUUGAGAGGCUGCUCUGAAUGAAGGUUAAGUGGGAGCCUGAGGAGGAAGCUGUGUCAGAGGAAAGCCUGCAUGUAUUCAAGCAUGAAGCGUUUUAUAUCUAUCGGAGCCCAGAUGCAUGCUAGGAGCCAGAGCCCAGCAGCCACCCAGUGUUGGCCUCAGAGCCUGGCCCAUCCCAGAGGGAGAGGGUGCCAGGCCUUAUCAGAGAGGCCAAGGCUGGAUUGACCAGAUUUUUCCAGUGCUCACCCGCCCCCUGGUGGUCAUCAUGAGCAUUCCAGGCCUUAGCAAUCUUGAGAAAGAGAUGGCAGAAGAUAGCCUCGGGGCUAGGUUGACCCUUGCUUGCCUCUUGUGACAGCUGGUGGAAGGAUGAAGUAAGU
rnacentral:lncRNA from 1 species